GGAAAUGGUAUCUGAGCAUUUGUGGAUGCCAUCUUGAGAGGUCAAUUCCUGGCUGCGUAAUACAAACAGCGCUGCUCUGGAGGGGGAGCAGCGAAGGUGUAACGGAGGAGCAGAAAGAAAAAUUCUUAUGCACAGGGACAGAAACGGUUAGUUUUUCUUCAGUCAAGGCACCUGCCAUUGGAAGGGUCUAUUUCGCUGAUUUGGAGGGCAUUCCUGAGCACAUGGAUGCACGAAAUUGUACUCGCAUCCAAGAAUCGUGGCAAAAGUGAUAUCACCUAUGAGAAUCACAGGGGAAGUGAUUUAACAUCCAAGAAUCUACCACUUGCUCUUUAAACUGAUACCUGGCCACGGUGAACACUGUGUUUGUUUCCAUGUGCGUAUAACUGGAUUUAACCUCAUGUGACUGGAUCUGCUCAUGGAAGAUUAGAUGACAAAUCCUGUUGGGCAAAUCUAAACCAGAUCUGAUGUAAUCAUUAUUGUGAAUGCAUCCCUUGAUUGACUGUAAUGAUGAUGGCCAAGGCUCUGUAUUCCCACAUAGAUUUGUGUGUACAUAUCAGUAUUUGCAAACAUAGGUAUUCAAAAAGAGCUAGACAUUGCCAGUUGGAUCUUCCUUGAUGUACUGUCCUAAAAGACGUUGGUGCAGUGGGAUCUAGUUCACCAAAAGGCUUCCAGAGUAAGAAACCUGAACACUUGCAUCAUUCAGCACAGGAGCUUCAAGGCUUGGGCGAUGUGGUUAGCCUGCUGGAGCAUUAUGGCAAGCGACCCUGCCUGGGGCACGGUGUGACCCUCUUCACCUACUGGCACAGCAUUCUCCUUCUUCUUCUUUUACUACAACAACAACAACAACAACACUGUUUUUCAACAAAGUUUCCAAAGCGGUUUACAUAGAAAAAGAAUAAAAUAAAUAAGAUGGUU